rnacentral:rRNA from 1 species
UGUUACUUACAAGUAAAAAUUUCUGGAACAGUAAUAGUAAUGAAAUUUAACGGAUUUGGCGGCAAGAUAGCCAUUUAGAGGAACCUGCCCUAUAAUCGAUGAACCACGAAUUACCCUACUUUUUCUUGAAUUCAGUUUGUAUACCGCUGUUGUCAGUUAGUUUCAUCAGAAAACUUUCAUAAAUGAAAAAUUCAACGACUUCAAGUAAAGGUGCAGCUUAUGAAAAAGAUAGAGGUGGGUUACAUUUAUAAGAAUAAAACGGAUAAAGUUUUUGAAAUUAACUUUUGAAGGUGGAUUUAAUUGUAAAGUUUUAUUAAACUUGAUGAGAGCUCUGUCUUGU